GGGAAAGGAAACUGGAUUUCCUUACCGCCAUAAAAGGCCUGACCUCCAGACUUAGGCAGAGAUUCACACCCCUCCAUUUAGCUCCAAUAUUAUUGAAACGGACAGAGAGAGAAGAAUGGAGAUUUGCCAUUUCAGCCACAAGCAUUGGCUGACCCUCUCUGCGAUGGACGACGCCGGCAAGCCUUGCAGGGCUUGCUCGAGACCCAUCUUCGAUUUCGGCUACGUUUGCCACGACUGCAACUUCCACCUCCAUAAGAAGUGCGCCAAGUUGCCUCAGAGCAUCCACCACUGUCUUCAUCCCAAACACCCUCUCACCCUCCACUUCAAUCAAUCAGAGACCUUCGAGUGCAGCGUCUGCAAGGAAACUGACUCCGGGUUCACCUUCCGAUGCUGCGAGUGCGACUUCAACAUGGACGUGACCUGUUUCUUAAGGAACCAGCCUUGUCUUAAUCUCCCUCCUCGAGAAGAAAAAACGAGGAAGCUACUGCAUUUCAGCCACAACCACCCCCUGACACUUUGUUUCCUCACAAAGAAGGAUUAUGUGAGAUGUUCCGGAUGUGAACGGCAAAUUUGUGGUCCAGCUUAUCGCUGCAAGGUAUGCUGCCAACGGUUCACACUCGACAAAUGCUGUGCUCAAUUGCCAUGCCUGAAGGAACAUCCUUUCCACCCUUUGCACACCUUGACACUCUGUAAAAAAUCGCCUUAUGGUGAUACACGAGCGGUCUGUGAUGCCUGUAAGAAGACCAUCUGUGGUUUUGUGUACCACUGCGACAUAUGUCAGUUUGACCUCGACGUGGUAUGCGCUUCUCUUACACCUUCACUGAAACAUGAGAAGCAUGACGGUUGCCUCGCUUUCUUCAAGAAAUAAAUGGUCAAGUUCCGUGUAAUCUUUGCGGCAAAUCGUGCAGCAACAAUCUUUACCGAUGCAUUAGCUGCAACUUUAACGUGCACUCCACUUGUCUUCAAUUUGCAAGCACCGUUAAGCACAAAUACCAUCCCCAUUUUCUUACACUCAAAGGCUCUACUCCUCCCAAGAAUGAUCCAAGUGGGAUUCUCUGCGCAACAUGCGAUAAGAAGAUAAGCCCAAAGGCCCGGGCUUAUUACUGUGGAGAAUGCAGCUAUGGAGUUCAUCUUGAAUGUGUGGUCUCCGAGGACCAGGCUGACCUAGGGAAACUUCUUGUAGACGUGACAAGGGUCCAAGAUGACAUAGAUGCAAUUACCACUGGCUUGAAACCAUGUUCGAGACGACCUAGAUGCAAUUGCCACUCAGUUGGAACGCAACUGAGAAUUAGUAUCGACGAAGAUACGGGAAUGAGUAGGAACGUUUUCCAACAUUGCCACAGCACCUGAGCUCCAGGAUGGGAUGAAGAAAGAAAGUUGAUUAGAUUAAUUCGAAAACUUCACAGCCCAAAACUAGUCUGAGUACCUGUGCCAUGCAUCUAGAUAUAUGCUUAUAAUGUAAAUGCUACCAGUAGACACAAUGCUCACGUUACUCUGUUUCAUAUGGCAGUGGACUGUGGCCAUUAAAAACACUGCAAAUAGUACUAAUUUACAAAAGGAUCAUU